rnacentral:rRNA from 1 species
CAGAGGGUGCAAACGUUGUUCGGAAUUACUGGGCGUAAAGCGCGUGCAGGCGGCCUUGCAAGUCGGACGUGAAAUCCCACGGCACAACCGUGGAAGUGCAUUCGAAACUGCGAGGCUGGAGUCCUGGAGAGGAAAGUGGAAUACUCGGUGUAGAGGUGAAAUUCGUAGAUAUCGAGUGGAACACCGGUGGCGAAGGCGGCUUUCUGGACAGGUACUGACGCUGAGACGCGAAAGCGUGGGGAGCAAACAGGAUUAGAUACCCUGGUAGUCCACGCCGUAAACGAUGAGUGCUAGGUGUCACGGGCUUUGACCCUCGUGGUGCCGAAGCUAACGCGUUAAGCACUCCGCCUGGGGAGUACGGCCGCAAGGCUA